GCCUGUGACUGGUGGAUCUUUUCUUGUUACAUCAAUUCCUCCCCUUCUCCUGCCUCCCACCCUUCGUUCCUCAGUGCUGAACCUUUCCACCUCUGUUCCCAUCCAAGGCAACUAAAACUAUGACACUCAGCGGCCUUCCUCUUCUAUCUUCUCUGCUUAAGAAAUGACAAAUCCAGCCUUGGGAAGAGACGUGAUGAUACCUCACUGUGGAGAGAGUGAAAGCAGUCAGGGUGCUACCUGCCAGGAGUGCAUGGAGCAAGUGCAUCACCAAUUUCACUUAAAAAAAAAAAAAAGGCCGUUAUUCAUGUCAAAGCAAUGCAAUUAGCAUGGAAACCAUUGGCACAAGGAAUGAUAUCCAAACCAGUCUCUGAAACCCCAGACUUUCUAUUUCUGAUGUGGGAUUCCAGUCUUAAAAAGGUAAGCCACCAGAAGCAGGAAUGUAGGAAUACACUAGUUGGAGCAUUUCCAAAAGAAGCACCAAAUUCAUCUUUAACGCUGUGAUCAAAACUGAAAUUUUAAGAAAAGCGAGAGGUCAUCCAGACAUAGAAACUUUGUGACUCCUUUUUCAUAAAUCUGUUGUUUUUCUCUGCAAAGUUUUAGUGACAAGAACUGGUGUUGCCUCUCUGCAGCUUUCCUGGCUUCCUUAGGAGAAUUUUGUGAUAUUACAAAGCUUCCAUGACAACAAAUAAGAUAUUACAUAGUGUGAGGCUCCAACUAUCUAACCAGAACUUAAAGACAAAUAUUCACGUUACAUUUAAGAAAACAGUCACCAUGCAAAAGAUUGUUUUAAAUUCCCUAUUUAAAAAAAUAUUUUUCAUCAUAAUCUGAAGUUUGGACAAAGCCCUUUCCAUCAGAUUUCUGCUUGCAGAUUAUUUUAGAGUUUAAUGCUAUUAGUUUCCACUAAUUGAUGAAAAAAAUUAUGGAAAAUGGAAUGUGUCCUAAUCAAUAUGUCCAGAGUCCAAUUUUGAGAUGUGGUCAUUUAUUACCCAUUCAACAAUGCAAAAACCCAUGGUUCCACUAAAUAGGACCAAUAAUUGAGCUCCCCAUCCUGGAAUCUUGUGUAUCCAAGUGAAUGAUGUGUGAAUUUCACAACUCUAAAACAAUAAGGAUGGGGAUAUCUGGGAGGAAAAUUAAUUGCUUUAAAAAUGGAAAUUAGAUUUUUCUAAUUUGUAAAUAAACAUAUUACAAACGAAACGCAAGUAUUUAGGGCAUUACUGUCUCUUAAACUUAACAAAUCAAAACAGAACUAAAUACUGCUUUCUAAAAUUUUAAUGACAUAAAAGAGUCAAAAGUUGAAAUGGGUAUGUUUAAUCAAUCAUUAAUUAAUAUUAAUCAAUUAAUGCCCAAUCAUUAAUCAAUUGGUCAUAAUGACAUGAAAGCUAUGGCUUAGAAAUACGAUUGAAUAUAUAAUUUUAAACUACAUGAUAAUAAAUUAUUCCCAAAUGCCCAUCCUUUUUGGUUUUGUUAUCACACCGUGCUUACCACACAUCCACAUACUCUGCUGUUCUACAAUGAGAAAAGGAAAAUUUUAGUUUAGUUUGUUGGAGAAAAUUGGAAAAAUUACUCGAAAACAUGCAUAAAUACAUUAAAAUGUAUAUAAAGAAGAAACAUUUACUGAAAGGAGAAAAAUGUAUUAGUCUUAGGACCAGUUGGGGUUUUGUAACAGCCCAUAGGAAACCCAGUUGUGUAUGAAUUGAUUGGAUGAAUUUGGCAAACGGUUACAGUUACACAAAAUGGGCUUUUCCUUAUUAUUUACAUACUUUAGAAACUGGUGUUCCCAAUGUAUCUGUCCCCAGUUCCUUGCCGCUAAUGUACUUUUGGUCAAAAAAGCUUUCAAGGAAAAAUAUCCCUGCAAGUUCAGCUUUGUUCAGAAUGCUUCAGUCUUAAAGACCUCCUUUUAAAUUCAUCUUUAAGCACUGCAUUCUAACCAGAAAACUACAUUUUUAGCUACUAUUUAAAUAUGAUGUGUGCCAUAUCUGAAGUAUUUCAACAAAAUAUGAUCAAAUAUGUGGGCCCACUGUUUCUACUCUCUGUUCAAAGUAAAAUACACUCUACACAUCAUAAGACAGACUUUAUACCAGUCAGAUCAAAUUGUAAAUAUUUUUGGGUGAUGUAAGAAAAAUAAUGACUGACUAGUUACAGGUCAUCUAAACACUUUUGGUGAAACACUAUUGAUGUUUAAGAAAGAAAAUGAAUCCCACGUACUCUUCAGCGCAUCCUGGUCUUAUUCAAGGUAACAUGCUUCCUCAUCGUCCUCACCCUUUGCUUGUUGGCCUCUGCGUGUGGCUAUCAAGAAUCUGGGUCAAAGAUAUCAAGGGCUUAGCAGGACCCUUGAAUUUCAGCUCUGGAACAAACUCACCUGUGGGAGAUAUUCUGAUACAGAUUUAAAAGUAGUCCCAGUCUCUUGACUUCUAGGUCUAAUCCAAGUGUUUUUUUUUUUAUGGAGUUACUCUAAGUGAUCAAAUCUCAUCCUACUAGGGUGGUGACCACUCUAUUUUGAGAUUAUUUUUGUUUUGCUAAUCAAUACUAAUUGCAGAUCAGCAACAGAACUCAUAAAAUUGGAAACUCCUCUCCCUGUGAGCAAGUUGGGAAAUCUGAAGAGAGUACAAAAGUACAUUAUGCACUUGAAGUCACUGGGGACCCUUUAAUGAGACAUAGCUUUGUGGACGAACAAGGGGGAACAGACCUGGAAAAUAACUACCCUGUUCUAGUCCCGCAUCCACAGAGGAGCCACAGGGUCUCAGUUCAGCUCUUUCUCUCCUCUUUGCUGUUGUUGUCUGUGACCACUUGAGUUUAAAUGAAUCAUGAAGUCUGGGCAGGCUGACUCACGCCUGUACUCCCAACAAUUCGGGAGGCCGUGGCGGACGGAUCACUUGAGCUCAGGAGUUUGAGACCAGCCCGGGCAACACGGUGAAACCUUAUCUCUAAAAAAAAAUUACAAAAAUUAGCCAGGCAUGGUGGUGUGUAACUGUGGUCCCAGAUACUUGGGAGGCUGAGGUGGGAGGAUUGCUUGAGUCAGUGAGGUCAAGGCUGCAGUGAGCCCAGAUCAUGUCACUGCACUCCAGCCUGGGCAACAGAGUAAGACCCUGAUUUAAAAUAAAUAAAUAAAUAAAAUCAUAAUUAAUGUAAAAGUACUCCGAAAAUCAU
rnacentral:lncRNA from 1 species